rnacentral:miRNA from 1 species
GCUCAGCUUGUCAAAUACACUA